GGUCGCACCCUCGACAUAUGGAGGUUCCCAGGCUAGGGGUUGAAUUGGAGCUGUAGCCGCCAACCUACACCACAGCAACUGGGAUCCAAGCUGCAUCUGUGACCUCCACCACAGCUCACGGCAACACCCGAUCCUUAAUCCACUGAGCAAGGCCAGGGAUCGAACCUGCGUCCUCAUGGAUACUUGUCAGAUUCAUAUCCGCUGCAGCAUGAUGGGAACCCCUGCUUCUUCCUUUGGAUAGUGUGACUAUUCUACCAUGAACAUUCAUGUACAGGCAUUUGUUUGCAUAUCAGUUUUCAAGUUUGGGGGGUACAUACUUAGUAAUGGAAUUGCCGGGGCAUGUUAUAAUUUUAUACUUAACUUUUUAAGGAACUGCCAUGUUGUUUUCUGAAUGAAUAAUGAUGUUGAACAUCUUUCCUGUACUUAUUGGCCAUUUGGCUAUCUUUUUUUGGAAAAAUGCCUCUUCAGAUACUUUGCCUAUUUUUAAGAUUGCUUUGUCUUUGUAUUGUUCCAAGUUUAACCUUAUUGAAACCAGACUUUUUGCUACUCAGUUGCCAACGAAGCCUUCAGGAAAGAUGAUAUGGAGGAGCAUUUAUAAACUAGAUCUUCAUCUUCCCACUUGCCCUGAGAAAGCAAACAUGCUUGGCUCUUCUGCGUCAUAAACACUUCAUACCAGAGUUGACCAUCUAUGCGAUUAGCUAUAGUUUGCAUGAUUCAUAGAGCCUGAGAGUAGACAUGUGGUCUAUGAAGGAACUAGCUUGCAAACAGAAUAUACAUUGUUAAAAUCUGGCUGGCUAUCCAAAAUGCAAAAUGUUCAAUGCAUGUUCCAUAGAAAAUAGUAUAGGGGAGGGGUGGUUUAGUUACUGAUGUCUGUUGUUACGUGGUCUAACUUUACAUAAUGUAAUGGAGCAGAUGAAUUCUAGCAAAGUUUGCUCUACAAUGAAAGUUUCAUUAUCUUAUUGAAUUAUAUUAUGAAAUGAAAGUGUAGUCUGUUAGAAAAGAUUUUCGUCUUUGAGUAUAUUAAAAUCAUAUUUUAACAAGGCACUAAAACUUGUUAAAAGUACCAUACUUAGAAAUACAAGUUGUGUUUAUGAAAACAUUACAGAGAAAACAAAACUUCCACAUGCUGCACAUGAGGCCCUAAAAAGCAAAAAAAAAAUUUUUUUUUGAUGAUUUUCACUGUACUCAGGACAAAGUUCUUAAUGCUCUUCUCAUUUAAUGAACUCUAUUCUCUCUCUCUUUUUUUUUUUUUUUUUUGUCUUUUUGCCUUUUCUAGGGCUAUUCCCAUGGCACAUGGAGGAUCCUAGGUUAGGGGUCUAAUUGGAGCUGUAGCUGCCAGCCUAUACCAGAACCACAGCAAUGCAGGAUCCGAGCCGCGUCUGUGACCUACACUACAGCUCAUGGCAACGACAGAUCCUUAACCUACUGAGUGAGGCCAGGGAUUGAACCCGAAACCUCAUGGUUCCUAGUCGGAUUCGCUAACCACUGAGCCACGAUGGGAACUCGGUGAACCCUAUUCUGCACAACUUUGACCAUUUCUAAUCCCUGGUGGCCCCCUCCCAGUUCACACCAUCCAGACUGGUCUCAAAAUCUCUCCCCUGCCCACAGGAAUGGUGUUUCUUCCCCUUGAGAUCCAUACUAUCCACACAGUAUCUAGCACAUGGUGAGGGAUCUGCAAAUAUUUGCUAAGGAAAUGAUAUAUUUGCCAUGUAAUCUUUGCUUCCUGAUUUGGCUCAUCUGUGCAUCCUGCCAUGAAACUGCUACAUGUUAAAAAUUUACACAUCCUUCAAUACUUACUUUCUCUAUGUAGCUUCAUUCGUGCUACGAUCAGUGAAUAGAACAGAUGUGGUAAUAGUAGAGGUACAGGCCCUGCCCUCAUGGAGCUUCUAGUCCAAUGUGGUGGGACAAUUCCAUGCAAGUGAGCAGAGAAAGAACCACCUAGGUUGUAAGUGCUCCAGGAGGACGGGAUGGUCACAGGGACUUUAUACGACAUUGCUCUAUGUGUCUCAUUUGGGCAUUUCUUACACACUGUUCUUUACAGUUAUUUAAUUUUUAAAUGAAAGUAUGUAUCUUCUACCUCCUCAGUUCAAGACUGAAAGUGUUUUUGAGAGCAGUGGCAUACCACAGGUAUUUAAAGAUAUGACCUUGAUUAGUAUGCCCUUGGGCAAAAGUACUAGGCAGCACAUUCCAUUAAGUCCUAAAAUAUUCAAUUCUUUUUUUUUUUAAACUAAUGAUUCACAAUUUAAAAAAUUUUUUAUUAUUUUUUUCCUUUUAUGGCUGCACCUGAGACACACUGAGUUCCCAGGCUGGGGGUCAAAUCAGAGCUGCAGCUGCCAGCCUACACCACAGCCACUGCAAUACAGGAUCCAAACCGCAUCUGUGACCUAUGCCUCAGCUUGCGGCAAUGCCAGAUCCUCGACCCACUGAGCAAGGCCAGGGAUCGAACAUGCACCCUCACAAACACUAUGUUGGGUUCUUAAGCCCCUGAGCCACAAUAAGAACUCCUAAAAUGUUCAAUUCUUGAGAUUCCAUAGGAUUGACAGUUUGUACUGGGAUAUGUAGUUGAAUCCAACAACCAGCUAGCCACUGCUGACAAAUUUUACACUGGAAUGUCACUGACCUCUCUAUUUAUUUAGUCAAGUGUGAGCUUAUUAGUCACUAAGAUUUAUCAAAGUCAUGAUUAAAAAUUCUGGCAUUGUCGUACAUUAAUUAGUCAAAUAUUAGAGUCUAGUCUAGCUAUUAGACAAGAGUGAGCUAUACCUUCUAGCUGGGUGAAGCAAUAGCAAGAGAAGGAUGAUUUGCUAUUAGGUUUAGUAAGGUUUAGGGAGAGAGAAGCUGUGUGCUUAUAUUAAUUUUGAAUUAUUUAAUGGAACCAUUAAAUUUCUAGGCAGAACAUUUUUUCCCUUUUCUUUCUUUUUUUUGCGGGGGGUGGGGGGGAGGCGCACCCACGGCAUAUGCAAGUUCCCAGGCUGCAGCUGCCUGCCUAUGCCACAGCCACAGCAACACGGAAUCUGAGCCACGUCUGCGACCUACACCGCAGUUCACGGCAAUGCUGGAUCCUUAACCCACUGAGAGAGGCCGGGGAUCUAAUCCCCAUCCUCAUGGAGACUUGCUGGAUUCUUUUUUUUUUUUUUUUUUUUUUUUUUUUUGGUCAUUUUUGCCAUUUCUUGGGCCGCUCCCCAGGCACAUGGAGGUUCCCAGGCUAG
rnacentral:lncRNA from 1 species